rnacentral:rRNA from 1 species
ACGGGAGGCAGCAGUGGGGAAUAUUGCACAAUGGGGGAAACCCUGAUGCAGCGACGCCGCGUGGGUGAAGAAGUAUUUCGGUAUGUAAAGCUCUAUCAGCAGGAAAGAAAAUGACGGUACCUGACUAAGAAGCCCCGGCCAACUACGUGCCAGCAGCCGCGGUAAUACGGAGGGGGCAAGCGUUAUCCGGAUUUACUGGGUGUAAAGGGAGCGUAGACGGCCUUGCAAGUCUGAAGUGAAAGCCCGGGGCUCAACCCCGGAACUGCUUUGGAAACUGUAGAGCUGGAGUGCAGGAGAGGUAAGUGGAAUUCCUAGUGUAGCGGUGAAAUGCGUAGAUAUUAGGAGGAACACCAGUGGCGAAGGCGGCUUACUGGACUGUAACUGACGUUGAGGCUCGAAGGCGUGGGGAGCAAACAGGAUUAGAUACCCUGGUA